rnacentral:misc_RNA from 1 species
GAUGAAGAAGUAGCGAAAUGCGAUAAGUAAUGUGAAUUGCAGAAUUCAGUGAAUCAUCGAAUCUUUGAACGCACAUUGCGCCCGCCAGUAUUCUGGCGGGCAUGCCUGUUCGAGCGUCAUUACAACCCUCAGGCCCCCGGGCCUGGCGUUGGGGAUCGGCGGAGCCCCCCGUGGGCACACGCCGUCCCCCAAAUGCAGUGGCGGUCCCGCCGCAGCUUCCAUCGCGUAGUAGCUAACACCUCGCGACUGGAGAGCGGCGCGGCCACGCCGUAAAACACCCAACUCUUCUGAAGUUGACCUCGAAUCAGGUAGGAAUACCCGCUGAACUUAAGCAUAUCAAUAAGCGGAGGA